CUUCUCUGAGGAAAGUAUCAUCUCAGUUGGGAAAUCUUCAGGAAAGGAACAUGCUGGAGCGAGAGACUAGAUUGAGAAUCAUGGACCUGUGCAACCUCCAGCCAGGUGCUUGACAGUAUCUAUCUGUGAAUUUGAAGCUGCAGCUUGAAGUGUAAAAAAAUUCAAACUUCAAAGUAUUUGAGUAGCUUUCUCGAUGCCCUCUACACUGAGAAUCCAUGGUGGUGCUACUAGCAAGAACCUCCCUGUAUUCCUGGCAAAGAUUAAGAACCAACAGGAUGAUAGCAGGAGAGAAGUGCUGCAGGAUGCUAGAUCUGAGCCAGAUGUCUAAGCUAACAGAUUAUCAAUAUCUUGGGAUUGAACUUGGGUCCUUGUGCUUGCGAGACAGAGGGUGGAACCACUGAGCUAAAUCCCCGGCCCAGCAUUGGUCCUUAUAACAAGCAGGCACAGAAGACGGCAGUAAGUUACAUUACCAAGAAACAGGCUGACCUCACAUCUAAACUGUCCUAUCAAAA
rnacentral:lncRNA from 1 species